GUCGCUCACCGUGGAGCCUAGACUGGCUGUAAAUGUGCGUUCCUCUUGGAAUGGCAGAUACCUGCUUCUUUCGGAAUUGCAAGUCUGGGCUUUGUGGGCCAGAACUCUAGUCAAAGAACAAACAAAGGCUGUUUUCACUCAUCAUGUGGAGAGAUUUGAGGACUCAAUGAAGCAAGACUCUGGAUGAUCACACACUUCAUCUGAGGACUGGAGCGAUUGCUCAGAAGGUGAAGAAGUGCUUGUCACAUGACUACAAGGACCCUGGUUCAGAUCCACAGCACCUGACAAAAAGCCAGGAAUGGUAGCGUAUACCUGUCACCCCAGUGCUGCAGGGUGGAGACAGGAGGGUUGUGGAGGUUCACUUGAAAGCAGUCUAGACAAAAUGGCAAGCUCCAGGCUCAGUAAUCGACCCUAUCCCAAAAAUAAAGUGAAGUGACUAAGGGAGACACGGGAAGUUGACCUCUGGUAUACGUAAGCAAAAGCACCUGUGCACACAAUUUCAUUUGAGGCAAGGCCAGUCAGUGUUAAAUCUGCAACCUAGAUUUAAGGGAGGCACAUGUCAAGAAAUGUUGAGUCAUGCUGCUUCUGUGCAUCUAACUUUACAAGGGCAUUUUCUUUUUUUACAACCCAUUCUACUGGAUCCGCAUGACAUGCUGUCUCAUUUCAGUAUGUGCUCAACUGGAAAGGAUGACCUCAGAUGAGGUCUCCAAACUCCAAACUUUUCCAAGACAACACACACACACACACACACACCACAGAUUGAGAGAGAGAGAGAGAGAGAGAGAGAGAGAGAGAGAGAGAGAGAGAGAGAGAGAGAGAGAAUGCAGUUGGAAUCUAUGCUAGAUUUCUAGGAAAACCUGACAUUUUGAGUUAUCUAUCAUCAACCUACAAAAAAAACAUCAUUUGUGGUUCAGAAAAAUUCGCCCCAGAAUAUACAAACCAACACCCCUGGGCAGCUGCUAACUACACAAUGACACCAUAGGAGUGUUGGUCUUGUUCAUAGAUAUUACAGUGCUGGAGAUGAACGGAAAUUAAUCCACUGUGUGUUCAUAGCCUGACUGUUACACCCGACAUACCCUUUCAUAUAAUAGCCUGUGCUCUAGGCCAGAGAACGGGAGAUAAAAGGAGGUCAUUAACUCAAAUACUAAAUGAUAAUGGAAUUUUCUUCUUAAUCAGAUUUUCUGAUUACCUAAGCCUUUGGCAGGACCGACUUUUGCAAAAAAAUCAGCUUUCUGAAAUGUCUGAGUCAUUCUGAAGCAUGUACUACAGAGAACAACUAACUCUGCUUCACGGUUUUGUGAUCAUCAUUCCACACACUAACAUGUGUGCGCACAUGUGUGUGUGCGCGCAUGCGUGUGUGUGUGUGUGUGUGUGUGUGUGUGUGCGUGUGUGCAUGACAUAACCUAUUUUUAAACUCGUUCCUGAAAGGAUCCCAGUUCUGUUUAGGAUUGGAGAUGGCUACUUAAUAAAUAAAUCUGCCUGCCUGGUAGAUGCCAGCAAUUCCUAUCUGCUGUGAUUGGUGGGUCCAGGUUGUUGGGUUUUUUUUCCCCAGACAGCUUUUCUGAGUUCUAGAUGUUUAUUCUUAUUCUAUAUCUUUGUCUGGAGUUUGUGGGAGGUAUUUGUGGGCCCUGAAUAAGAAACGCCAUCUGGGGUUCAUUUCUUCAGUUCUGUUCAGAAAGAACAUUGUGGGCAUGUAAAUCUCAAACUGCUGAGUGACUCUCUGGCUACUUCUGAUAAAAUCUAAUGGGAACCAGGGCCAUGUCCCCCCACCCCCCAGGGUGUUUCCCAGUCUGAGAUUUCAUGGUUGCCCCACAACCCACUUGAAUAGCCGCCUCUAAUGGCAUCAGGUUGGCAUGCUUCGUGUCUCCCUGAUAGGCCUGCAGACACGCUUUGCAACAAAUUACCCUGGCUCUGCCUCCUGCCCACAAUUACAUGUGCUCACUUGUAAAUUUCCAGCCAGUACACUUGAGGCCACUUCCUUAGGGUCCGGGAAAGCUGUUAUUUUCCAUUAGUCUAAUGUCUCAAGACUGGGGAAGGCUCAGGCAUGGAGUCACUUUGUUUUCUGUAUAUUUUACACAAAUGUAAAAGUUUUUUUUUUUUUUUAAUGUAUUCUGUCUCCAAAUUGCCAGGGGAUUUACACUUAUGACCUAAUUGUGAUCAAUGUCCCACUGUCCCAAUUCACCAUCCCUGAGCCUCAGGAGGCAAACACGUGAGCUACACUAAGGGUACAUCUUCAGCUAGCCUGCCAGAGAGCAAAAGUCAUCCUUUGCUGUCUAGAAGGCAAACUUCCUUUCUCCUACAUGAAAACAAUCUACCCGAUUCACAAUCACCAAUAACAGAACCUCUGGUUCAAAGCCUUUCAUUUGAAAAAGGUUUUAAACACUGAAAAGUGGAAGUUGAGUGUAGCUGGAAGUUUUCCUGUGUCCUGCCUGAUCCCGCAGCCACUUGGUCCCAAGUAAACACACAGAGACUUAUAUUAAUUACAAACUAUAUGGCCUAUGGCUCAGGCUUAUUAUUAACUAGCUCUAAUAACUUAACUUAACCCAUUUCUAUUAAUCUACAUUUUGUCAUGUGGCUUCGUGAUGUUCCCUGUUCUCUCACAUCUUGCUACUCCUGGCAGUGGCUAGCAGCAUCUGUCCCAACUCCUCCCUUCUCCUCUCUCUAUCUCUCUUGGAUUUUCCCACCUGGCUCCAUCCUGCCCUGCUAUAGGCUAAUGUAGCUUUGUUUAUUAACCAAUGGGAGCAGUACAUAUUCACAGCAUACAGAAAGACAUCCCACAGCAGUUGAAAGCUUAGAUGUCUCAUCACCCCAUCUUUACAAUAACAACAAAAUAUCUUGAGCCCUCUGGAAAUCAAUCACAUUUCUUGGGCCAUCAGGGAGCGGAGGUCCCAGGCCACCCACCACCUUGAAUUCUGAAGAGACUGUAGACAGAAGACACAGCACUGGGUGGCUUAGGGAGCAGAGGCCACUUGGGCCAUCAGUUCAGAUUUUGGGAUGAAUUUCUCCAGGCCGUAUGUACACUGCUACAAAAAGUGUGUGCUGGGGGGAAGGGGUGGCUUUCAAUUUCAGAGAUACCCCACCAUACCGGAGAACAUCCUUUUAGGAAACUCACUCAUUUCAUAAUGAAAAUCAAGACAAUCACACUAGAUACAUGUUGAGGAAAGAUGGGAAGUAAUCAUUCUGAACUAUGGUCAGUGUGAUUUCCACAACAAAAUGCAGCACUUCAGUGACGAAGACUCCAGUAGACCCUAGCUUAGCUUAAGGAAAAGAGCAACUGCCCAACCCCAGCCCUUGUCAGGCUUGUAUCUCAUGCAAAAGGGCGGAGAACAAACAAGCUGAGGAGCCGGUAGCCCACAGGUAGAGGUCUGUCAAAAACCGACAUAAUCUUAAGACUGUAGAUGUUACCUGUCUCCACUCCUUACAGCCUCAGUAACUAUUUUUCAAACCUCCUUGAAGUAUAAGUCAUCAAUAAGAAACAGGGACCAAUUCCCGUGUGCUGGAGAGACCAAACAAACAUGACCUCAGCCAGGGGACCGGCAUUAAUGUCAAUGUCGAUGACUCCCAGUGACAGCAGGUGUUUGAUGAGCUAGGAUGAAAUGGCACCUCAUGAGCUUCCUUUUAUAAACAACUACUCAGGAGCAACUAUCAGACAGAUCGCAACAGAUCAUCCUGCAGAAUGCUUGACCUCAUAAGUGUCCAGGUCCCCAGAAUAAAAGGGAAAUCUGAAAAACUGUCACAGCCCAAGGAAGACACAGUGGCUGUGGGUAUCACGGGGUACUGGAAUAUAAAAAGAUAGUAGGUAGCUGGGCACGUCUAUAAUAGUUAGAAGCUGUUUUUAAAACUAAAUUCUUUUUUUUUAAUGUAAAACAAAAUGUUAACACACUGACAGUAGGUAGGUGGUGGUGCACAUCUGUUAUCCCGGAACUAGGAAAGUGAGACAGGAAGAUUUGAGGGUUGAGGAGGAUCUGAGGGUUGAGGUGCACCUUUGCUGUAUUGCAAGACCUUGUCGCAAAUUUGGGGAUGGUGUGUGGAAAGGACAUUAUUUAAAAAUUAAGCAAAUACAAAUACACUCUGGCUUCUAGUUGAUAAAAAAAAAAAGCAUCAAUACUGGUUCAUAAAUUCUAAAGCAGUGGGUCUCAACUAGGGGUGGCAUAUCAGAACUCCUGUAUAUCAGAUAUUUACAUUAUAAUUCAUAACAGUAGCAAAAUUAUAGUUAUGAAAUAGCAACAAAGUAAUUUUAUGGUUGAGGGGGAGGGGAGUCACCACAACAUGAGGAACUGUAUCAAAGGAUCGGAGCCUUAGGAAGGUUGGGACUCACUGGACUAAAGCGAACUGCCCAUCAAGUAAAACAGGUGAUGCUAUCACGACUUUUCUGUGAAUUGAAAGCUGCUUUAAAUCCUUUUUUUAUUGUAAAACAAAAUGUUAACACAUUGAGAACUGGAAAACUAACACACUUGGAUUAUUGUGGGUUUUUUUUCCCCCUGAUAUUCCUGAGUUUGUAGUCUCAAGGGGAGAAAGUAUGCCAAUAUGAGGAAAAACAAUGUUUCCUGACACCAACACAGUAACAAAACAGGAUAAAAAAUACAGCUUUAAUCUUCCAAAAUGUUUAAAUUUAGCUUAAAGUACAGAAACAAAUGCCACUGUGUAUUAAACUAAUUUAAAAGGUUUUAGUUAUGGCCUCCAAACUGUUCAUUAUUUAUCCUGAGUUCACUUGGAAGCAGCAUGGAUCGCCUGUCGGUUUGGCACGGUGCCUCGCCUCAGCUGUGAGGUUAACUCAGAUUCAGUGCAGGAUUUCAAGGGGUCCUGUCAGGUGGGGCAAGCGGCAAACAGAAAAUACUACAGUUGCUCCAGAUCCCAAGCUGGAGGACAGACAGAGCUGAGCUAUAGGGACACAAGAGACCAAGAGGGAGGGAGAAAUUAGAAGGGUCUUCCUGGAGGAGGUGGCAGGUCACCGGAGAUCACAGGCUUCCUGGAAACUCCAAGCCCUCGAAGGUGAUAAGGGAAUCUCUUUGUGGCCAUGUUCUCUAGCACAGGAGGCAACAUGGGCGAGGCCCUGACUUCUGUGGGAGAACUGUGGAAGCAUGCCGUGGUGAGUAAACAGCCAUCAUUUGAAGGGACUGCAGACCCCAAUGCCCUGUCUGUUACCAGUUGUCACUGUGCACCCCAGUAGGGCCAGCUGAAGAGUCCUCAGCCCCUCCUCUGUAGUUGGGACGAAUGCUUUAGUGCUCCAGCAUACAGGCCUAGAAUCUCAGCUACUAGGCUGAGGCAGGGGAUCACUGGGUUCAGUUGUAUAGUGAGUUCAAGACCAGACUAAGCAACUUAGUGAGACCUUAGCUCAAAAUAAGAAGAAACACAUAAAAGGGGUCUGAGGAUAUGGAUAUAGCUCUGUGGCAGAGUGAUAGUGGGGUGUGGCGUUCAGGCCCCAGCAGAAAAUUAAGCCAAACACAUGAAAACCAGAAAGCAACUUUCCUCGUUGACUCAGAAGUUUAGACUAAGCAUGUACUAUUUUGCUCCACAGACGAGCUUGGAUGCUGUCGUCAAGAAGGUACUGGUCUGCGCUGGAACAAACUAUAAAGGUCUUGGGGGUCAAUGGAAUAGAUGCUUUUCACAAUCCUGGGCUGGUGCUGGGCAGGUAACCAUUCAGGAGCCCGCCUCCUGUGGCCCUGCAGCGCCACCUUGCUUUAGGGCCUUAAAACUGGGGCCAGGUUGGAAGACAGGGAAAGUGUUACCUACCUGCAUCAGAACAUCAGCCUUACAUCAGCUUACCUCCCACCAGCAAAACCCACAGGGCUGGGUGGGCUGGGCAUCAUGCUCCUUAACUAGACAGCACUUGCCAGCCGCUGGUCUACACCACAGAGCCAGAAGGGACAUCUUCAGUGGGGGCUAGCCAUCUUGGCCUCCCUGGGGAGACGCAGAGACCUAACACAAAUCUGACCCCUUCUCACAGCCUCGAGAAUCCAACGCACAAAGCAGAAAGAAUUAACUUCUAAUUUCACACCCGCUGAAUAGAAGUUACAGUAGCUAAAAAUAACCUGGAGAAAAAGCAUAAAAGCUUUGUACUGGGAUCUCCCAACGUGCUGCCUGGGUCAGAAGGCCAGCACUUGCCCUUCGGCCAUGGAACACAAAUAAAUACAGAGGCAGAACUAUUCUGUACAGAAAUACAGAUUAAACAUCAUCUAGUGAGUGACAAUGUGGCACCCCCUCACCUCUGGCCUCAUUCCGGCGGCGAAGUCUGGGUUCCAUCCACCCUUGCUGUACCAACAAAGCAGGCAUCAACUACUUUUUAAAAAUUCAAGACGGCCUGGUCUUUAUUUCCUCUAUGUUUAUCCCCUUGCCAUCCCUAGGAGGCUGGAGUCUGACCCAGUGUCUGCCUGGGAGUCAGAAAGCAUUAUUUCUACUGAUCAUCACCACCUUACCCACCAGGGGGUUCCAGCAAAGAUCCUGGAGAGGAUUUUUGGAGUGGUGGUUGUUUGCUUUUGUUCUGAUCACGGGGUCUCUCUGAGACAGCCACAUCAUCCUCGUUGCACAAUGGGAAACAUCCAGUUGUUGCAAUAUAAUCCCACUAUGAAGAAAUUUUGUUUACUAUGAUGCUCUCUUGGGACUGCGAUGGAAAUGGCAACCUGGGUUCACCUCUCCCACAUUCUUCCAUGCUCCAGCAGCCUCUUGGGUGGAGCAGAGGCUGUCAUGCCCAUUUCCCUCUUACCUGUCCCUGGCCAAGAGAACAGGAGACAGACUAGGGUCAGGAGAGCUUGGUAUCCAUGCACCCACUUUCUGGACCCUUGCUUUCUUCAUGCUUGUUGAUUUUGAUGUUGUUUACAAUACGGUGGACACAAGAUGAGCCAGCAAGACGCCUCAGUGGCUGAUGGUGCUUGCUGCCAAGGCAGAUGAUCUGAGUUCGAUCCCCAGGUCCCACAUCAGGGAAGGAGAGAACUGACUCCCAAAAGUUGUCCUCUGACUCCCACAUGCAUGGCAUGACGAACAAGAGGGCACAGGAGUACAUACACACACACACACACACACACACACACACACACACACACACACACACACACAUCUUAAUAGGAAAAGAAGAGACAAGAUGAACCUUCUUCCAACUCCCUUACCCUUCUGCCUCACCAAGUACUGAGGACAUUGAGAGCUGUCUGCACCUUCUUGCUCCUGAGUGGGAAGUCCCCAGAGGUGUGACAGACCUUCAGGCACAGACUGGAUGUCUGUAUUGCCCGGUGUGACCCUACUCAAACUCCACUUUCAGGUGAAUGAAUUUAAGGUCUACACCCCCACCCCAAAGUGACUAUUACCUUGCCACAGUGACAGAUCAAGACCUAGUGUGUCCUAGAGGAUUCAAAUCCUGUCACCACAGCUUGGAUAAUGGUGAAGGGCCUACUUGACUUAGUUUGCUUGGGGAUUUGGUAGGGUUGUAUGAAAAAGUCAUUUUCCUGUUUGAAACAGAAGGCAGUUCCCAUUCCUGUGAGGACUAGCAGUCAUCUUGUGCCCAUGAAGCAGAUUGACUUGAAGAUCCCUAGGAACAGGGGUGAGUACUUGGAAAGAUCAUGGUGAGGACUCUGAGAAAGCUGGUCAGUUGAUUUCCCACAGAGAGGAGACAGAAAAGCACCUCAGAGAUAACCCAGUGCUUGCUGGAUGCUCCUAUACUGUAGACAUUUCAGUAAUAAGAAACAGUAUAUGAUAAUAUGGAUUUAAAUAACUUCCAUGCAAAUACACACUAAUUAAUAUAUUUCAUUUCAAAGUCACAUUUUUGUUAUCAGAGAACAUUACAUUGGCAUUCUGAUUCCAAAGUUAGCAGAUCAAUGGAGCAUUUUUGGACAUGACCCAAGGACAUCAAACCUGUUAUUUUUGAAACCAUAAGACUAUGGCUAAUUGCUAAUUAUUUCAAGCAUUAAGAAGCAUUGCAUGCUCCUGAACCAAGGUCUCUCAUUAGCAGUGCUAAUUUUGCUAGCCUCCACCCCCAGUCUCGACUCCCCCUGCUCUGCUGCUGCCAGAACCCCUCUCUCUGCGGCUGGUUCUGUCUUUUGUGUCUGUGUGAGAACCCUGGAGGAAACAUGGGCCAGAGGAGACAGAAAGCCAAUAUGGCUUACCCAGCCCACCCACCCUUAAACGCUACAUAACAGAGAUUCAUUACAGCCCCCAAUUGCCCAUCCACACCCAGCUGUGCUACUCCAAUUCUUUUCUUUACAUUCAGUUGACAGCUGCUGAUCUAACCUCCACCUAGCAGCUCUAGUCAAAAUGCCAAGCAGAUUUUAAGGUGCAUGAAACUAUUUCCAGGUCUGCUUAGCCAUCUCUUCUUCCAGGAUCCUCCCAUGAUGAAAAUAACUGAUGCUGACCCCGAUAACUAAUUAUCCUUGGCAAUUUACAGCUUUGUCUUUAUUUCUCUUCUGUUGAGUUUCCACACACUGACUCCAUUUUCUGGAGUAUGGACCAGCCAGGCCUUAGUGCAGCGGUUCUCAACCUGUGGGUCAUGACCCCUUUGGAGCUGAAUGACCUUUUCAUAGGGGUCACCUAAGAUCAUCGGAAAACACAGAGAUUUACAUUACAAUUCAUAACAGUAGCAAAAUUACUGUUGUGAAGUAGCAACAAAAAUAAUUUUAUGGUUGGGGGUCACCACAACAUGAGGAACUGUACUAAAGAGUCGCAGCGUUGGGAAGGUUGACUACCAUGCCUUAGUGAAAACAGAAAUCACCUCCAAGUCUCUUUAGAUUAUCUCGGCUUCACCUGUCACCAAAGCCCUCAGUGACUAUGUCCAGCAUUUAGUGAGCUCUGGCCAGGUUUCACUCAGGUGCACCCUGCUGCUUGCUCCUCAUGCUCCACCAAUAUAUCUACAACAUGCCGUGGGACUGAGAGUUGGAGGGCUUUCACUCCUGCUCCUCUCCCAUCCUGAGAGACUCACGUAGCAAACCUCUGACCAAUGUAAGACCAUGGCUCACAAUUAAACUUCCUUUAUGAGUUUCUAAUUAGCAGGUACCUGGUAAGGAGCAGCGUCCGGUAGGGAAGACUCACUUUGGCGCUGUUGAGGGGACAGCACAUCCUGAAGGGGAAGUCAUCGAGGCAUGAGAGGUUCGUGGCUGUGGCAGGAGGAGAGCAAAGCUGCUUGCCCACAUCUCACUGGACCAGGAAGCAGACAGAGAGGACAAGAGCUGUGGAAACAGGGUCCAGAAGAGUUCAGUCCAAGGACACAGAGCCGGCAGGUGAUGAGUCUACAUUCCAGCCCCUCCUUGAUGUGUGUCUCCCCCGCUGGAUUUGUUACACUGAGCAUAAGGCUGCUCCCUUAUUUCUCUGCAAUUUUGUCUUGUCAUGUAAGUCAGCCAAGAACUUUAAGAUAACUCAUCUGUCUCGGCCUCUCUUCAAUCUUCUAGUCUCUCUUCUCAUUGAAACUUGGCUGGCUUCCCAUUCAGGUAAUUUGCUAAAUCAUUAAUACGAUGAUGCAUCCGGCAAGCAGGCAGAAGGAUGGGAUCCAUGGUAAAUCAUCAGGGAUUUAUGUCCAACUUCAUCACUCUUGAUCCAGCAGUAUUGGCUCUCACAUCAUAACAGUCCCUGUUUAUUCCUCUAAUCUAUGAGAGCAGAGAGGAAAUCAUUAGUCACCUUAGCAACAGCCAGACACGCUACAUAAAUCUGAAUUGAGUGUUCUGGCAAGCUUAUCAGAAAGGGAUUCAGGUUUAUGGUGCACAUUUCCCUCUUGGUGGGUUUAUAUCAACACUAAAUUGUCAUUAUUUCUUAAAUAAAUAUAAAUAUACUAGAAUCUUGCUUUGGGGACCCUGCAAACUUGCCAAAUAGAAAUGUCACUUUCCUUCUAAAAAUUUUUAAUCUGUUUCUUUAUACAUGUGUGUGUGUACACAGAGUCCAGAAGGAAACCUUGGAUGCCACUCCUGAGACACUAUUUGUAUUUAUUUACUUUUGAGACAGAGUCUUUCACUGGUUGAUUAGGUUGACCAAUUAGGCUAGGUUGAUUGGCCUAGGAGCCAUAAGGAUCUACCUGUCUCCAGCAUACUCAGCAUUUUUUUUCAUGGAUUCUGAGGAUUGAACUCAGGUCCUUCAUGAUUGCAAGGCCCACUGAGCUCUCACCUCAGGCCCUGUCUAUUUCUUUCUUGACAAUCUUUCCAUUUGUCUUCCAGUCCACAGGGAUCCUUAGGAGGCAUGGCGAUGCUUCUCCAGGGCCAGCUCUCCCUGUGCCCCUCAGGGUUAUGUCUUCAGAUCAGGAGACCUGCAUUUACCUGGGGUGAGAAGCCGCUCAGCAGAACCCAUCUGCCUAGACCUUGAGUUCUCACUCACCAAACUGGUCCUGAUGCUGGCUUAUUCUUUGAAUGAGAGUCAAAUUACAUCAGGGAUGCUGCUUCAUCUUCAGACCAUCCAUGCCGGCUGGCAACGGCUGGGUGCUCGUUGCAUUUUGAGUCUCUCCAUGUUUUUACAGGUCAUUAAGACAUGUGACCAUCAGUAAAGCACUACUUGGCUGCACCCACUCACAGGGCAGAGCCUACAACAUGCACCUUCUCAUCUCCUUUCAUUUCUGAUUUGGUUUUUUAAAAUACUUUAUUUCGACAGUUGGUGAUGGCACACACCUUUAAUCCCAGCACUAGGGAGGCAGAGGCAAGUGGAUUUCUUUAAGUCUAGGCCAGCCUGGUCUACAGAGUGAGUUCCAGAACAGCCAGGGCUAUACAGAGAAACCCUGUCUCAAAAAACAAACAAAAAAAGAAAGGAAGAAAGAAAGAAAGAAAGAAAGAAAGAAGGAAGGAAGGAAGGAAGGAAGGAAGGAAGGAAGGAAGGAAGGAAGGACGGAAGGAAGGCAAGCUCUAUUUCUCUUACUUUAUUUGUAGUUACUGAUAACGCUAUUAAAAUGCACUUCUCAGAACCAGAGAGAUGGCCCAGCAAUUGAGAGCACUUGCUGCACUUCCAGAAGACAGAGAUCUAAUCCUCAGUACCCCAUGGCAGCUCAUAGCCAUUUGUGACUCCAGAGGUCCAAGUGGAGCACUCCCCAUCAUUAGGCCUCCUCCUCUUUAACCAUCAUGGUGCAGUGAAGAGACAGGCCCGUUUCACAGUCCUCAUUUGCCUGACAAGCUUGACUCACAUUGAAUCUGCCCACAGAGGGCAGGAGAGGGGUAGGAAAUAACAUCUGUGAGUGCUAACAUGCUCCGGGGCCAUUCCAUCUUUUUAUCCUCAAGAUGAAUGUUCUGUUUUGAAAUAAAUACUCACAGGAAGUUACAAAAACAGUAAGAGUCCCGUGUAGCCUCUAGCCAGCUUCCUCCAUCUGGGGGACUGGGGGAGGGAAGCAGAAACCCAUGAAACCCAUGUGGAAGGGAAAGGCGGGGUUGAUGUUUUACUUCUCUCUGUCCAAAGAUGACCACUGUGUUAUCAUUCUACUUCUUUACUGGCGCACGAUGUAUUACACUAAAAUAAUUAAUUGAGGGCAUUAGAUUAAGGUGGCCCUGGUACUCAUGAUCCUACCUAAGCAAACCAGUUUCAACCCAGUAUAAACAGUCUUGACCAUUGGGAGACCCAUUGACUUUCAGUGCACCAAAACAAUUAUGGCUGCUCCCCCUUAACCAUCCAGUGAUUCCUUUGCCUUUCACCUGAGCUUCAAAAAAAAAAGUUCUUCCUUUUCCCUAUUUGUUGGAACCCCUAACCAGCAACAAGGUCUGGGGCAAUUGAUUCACAAAUUUCUGUCCCAGCUUACAGAUUGUUCUUACAGCAACUCACAGUUCUGUGUCCUGACAGGCUUAGCUGGAUGGAUCCUCUGACCCUUCAUAAGCUGGGUUUAUAACAGCCUAAGUGGCUUCAGGCACCUAUCCCGGGCUUUGACAGGAAUGGAUAAAAAAUGGGCUUAUUUGGGAUAGUGAGGUGCUUCACCUUUCUGUGGAUUCAGGGGUCUAUGGGGCACCUGUAACUGAGUGCAUGAUAGACAGUCUUAGGCACACAAUGAUGUUGCGCAGGCUCAGUUAUGUUAAAAAAGUAAAUCAAGUUGCAAAGCCAUGUGUCUCUUGUCCUGUGGUCUAUAUUGAAAUAUAUGUUAUGUAUGUACUGGUGUGUAAUGCCUAGGAAGUUACUAAAUAUGAAGAAGGAAGAAGUCUGGAGAAAACAUUAAUGGGAAUGAAGUGUUUUCCUGUGAGGAGAGCUGGGUGCUUGGCAACUGGAACAGAGUGCUGUUUGUCAUUGUUCUUUUGAAUCACUUCAGCUCUGAGUCUUUUGUGCAGUUUGGUAGCUCAAGUUUUGCACCAGAGAAUAGAGCAUGAUUGGGUUCCUCUAAUGGGCUCUAGAGGUCAGGUAAUGGAGAAUCAAGGCAGACAGGGGGUGAGAAGAAAAUUAAAGGACUGCUGUUGAGAUGUCUUCCUGUUGGAUGAUGAAUCAUGUUCACCAUGCAUCUGACAUUUCUUCUUGGCAGUUUGCAGCAAACAGGAAGGAGGAAGAUCGGAUGUCUCUUUAACAGCUUAGAUGAGAAAGACCAGAGUCCUUUGAGUUCAGCAAGAGACAAGGCAAAUACACCCUACCCUCCUCCUGCGCCUUUCACUUCUCUAAGCAAAUGCAAAAACAAAGAGAUAUAUAUAGUGUGAGCGGUGGGCACGCCAUGUGAAAACUCACCAUGUGAAAAGUGCCUCCAUUUUGGAUAAACAACAAUUGUAGAAAACUACAGAAAUUUGGUUCCUGGAAGUCAAGUAACCCAGGCCUCUAGAUCAGUUAUUCUCAAUCUGUGAGUCAAGACCCCUUUGGAGGUCACAUAUCAGAUAUCCUGCAUUUCAGAUAUUUACAUUUAUAGCAGUAGCAAAAUUACAGUUAAGAAAUAGCAAUGAAAUAAUUUUAUGAUUGGGGGUCACCACAAUAUGAGGAAUUAUAUUAAAGGGUCACAGUAUUAGGAAGGUUGAGAACCAUUGCUCUAGCUAGGUUCUUGACUUCCUACCUCAAUAAUGGCUACAUGACGUUCUUCAACUGGCCACUCACAGGUCACCUGCAGCAAUGACCGAUCUUAAUCAAUGAAGGAAACUUUUCCAUCUCCAUCCAUGCCACUUCCUGUGAAUACCAUGGGGAAGGUCCCCACUUGACCAUGCUGCCAUCUGCCUAUGGUGUUCAUAUAUCUUCUAAUAAAUUUCUUCCUCAAAUACCAGUCUACCUCAGUGUCCUCCCUUGAACCCAAACACUUCAUUUAGCUGAAGACCUAAGUAGACACAGACAAUCGGCUUUAAUACCUGAAUAGGAAAUGAUUAGACACAUCUAUGUUUAGACUUAGAGGACAGAGAGAGAUCAUAUAUUUUUUAAAAGUUAAAACAAUACAGAUCUAAAUU